rnacentral:rRNA from 1 species
GACGAACGCUGGCGGCGUGCUUAACACAUGCAAGUCGAACGGAAAGGCCCCUUUGGGGGUACUCGAGUGGCGAACGGGUGAGUAACACGUGAGUAACCUGCCCUUGACUUCGGGAUAACUUCAGGAAACUGGGGCUAAUACCGGAUAGGAAUCCUUGCUGCAUGGUGGGGGUUGGAAAGCUUCGGCGGUUUUGGAUGGACUCGCGGCUUAUCAGCUUGUUGGUGGGGUAGUGGCUUACCAAGGCUUUGACGGGUAGCCGGCCUGAGAGGGCGACCGGCCACAUUGGGACUGAGAUUCGGCCCAGACUCCUACGGGAGGCAGCAGUGGGGAAUAUUGCACAAUGGGCGGAAGCCUGAUGCAGCAACGCCGCGUGCGGGAUGACGGCCUUCGGGUUGUAAACCGCUUUCAGCAGGGGCGAAGCUUGUGGUGACGGUACCUGCAGAAGAAGCACCGGCUAACUACGUG